CCUACGGGUGGCAGCAGUGAGGAAUAUUGGUCAAUGGACGAGAGGCUGAACCAGCCAUGCCGCGUGAAGGAAGACGGCCCUAUGGGUUGUAAACCUCUUUUGUCGGGGAGUAAACCCAGCCACGUGUGACGGAUUGAAAGUAGCCUACGAAAAAGCAUCGGCUAACUCCGUGCCAGCAGCCGCGGUAAUACGGAGGAUGCGAGCGUUAUUCGGAUUUAUUGGGUUUAAAGGGUGCGUAGGCGGUUUGAUAAGUUAGAGGUGAAAUGUCCGGGCUCAACCCCGGAACUGCCGCUGAUACUGUAUGACUUGAGAAUCGUAGAGGGAGGCGGAAUGUAUGGUGUAGCGGUGAAAUGCGUAGAGAUCAUGCAGAACACCGAUUGCGAAGGCAGCCUACCAAACGAAAACUGACGCUGAGGCACGAAAGCGUGGGUAGCAAACAGGAUUAGAUACCCUUGUAGUC
rnacentral:rRNA from 1 species